AUACUACCAUCGUAUGAAAGCUUAUCAUUAUCAUUCAAUUAAAAACCGCAAAAAUUAAUAAAAAAAUGAAAGCAUAAAUUUUUAUUAAUUUCGUAGAAACAUUAGGAUUUUUUGAAGCAGAAAAUGAGAAAAACGUGCAAUGCCCUCGCCAGGACUGGAACAUGGACCUCUCGAGCAUGCGCCGAGUGUGCUACCGUUACACCACGAAGGCAUGCUGAAAGUAGGGAGAAAAUACCCUACACCAUCUGUAUAACUCGUCCCGGCGAUGUAUCUUUCAAGUGCCUGCCUUAUCAACUGUCGAUGGUAGGUUACGUGCAUACCAUAGUUGUAACGAGUGACUGGGAAUCAGGGUUCGAGUCCGAAGACGGAGCCUGAGAAACGGCUAUUACAUCCAAGGAAGGCAGCAAGCGAGCAAAUUACCCACUCGCAGAGCUGGGAGUUAGUGACGACAAAUAACAAUAUGGGACUCUUUUGAGACUCCGUCAAUGGAAUGAGUAUCUUACACCAGCUGAGAUGCUGUACCGCCUGUUAUAUGACUAUCAGCAU
rnacentral:ncRNA from 1 species